UACGAAGGGGGCUAGCGUUGCUCGGAAUCACUGGGCGUAAAGGGUGCGUAGGCGGGUCUUUAAGUCGGGUGUGAAAUCUUGGAGCUUAACUCCGAAACUGCAUUCGAUACUGCCGUGCUUGAGGACUGGAGAGGAGACUGGAAUUUACGGUGUAGCGGUGAAAUGCGUAGAUAUCGUAAGGAAGACCAGUGGCGAAGGCGGGUCUCUGGACAGUUCCUGACGCUGAGGCACGAAGGCCAGGGGAGCAAACGGG
rnacentral:rRNA from 1 species